rnacentral:rRNA from 1 species
UUUAUGGAGAGUUUGAUCCUGGCUCAGGAUGAACGCUGGCGGCGUGCCUAAUACAUGCAAGUCGAGCGAACAGAUAAGGAGCUUGCUCCUUUGACGUUAGCGGCGGACGGGUGAGUAACACGUGGGUAACCUACCUAUAAGACUGGAAUAACUCCGGGAAACCGGGGCUAAUGCCGGAUAACAUGUUGAACCGCAUGGUUCUACAGUGAAAGACGGUCUUGCUGUCACUUAUAGAUGGACCCGCGCCGUAUUAGCUAGUUGGUGGGGUAACGGCCUACCAAGGCGACGAUACGUAGCCGACCUGAGAGGGUGAUCGGCCACACUGGAACUGAGACACGGUCCAGACUCCUACGGGAGGCAGCAGUAGGGAAUCUUCCGCAAUGGGCGAAAGCCUGACGGAGCAACGCCGCGUGAGUGAUGAAGGUCUUCGGAUCGUAAAGCUCUGUUGUUAGGGAAGAACAAAUGUGUAAGUAA